UGGAAGCCAUCCAUGCGGCACUUUCCUUCCAGGGUCCUGAUGUGUGACAGUUUCCUGCGUGAGACUUCCCUUCUUACUUGGCACUUGGAUUUUAAAAUGACUCAGUGAUUAAUGCUUCAGAGCUGCACGUGAUAAUCGUCUUGGCAGAAGGCGAUGUCUUUGUUCUUAGUCACACACCUUUUGUGUAGUGUUUCCCACUCUGGCUCCCUUAUUUAUGACCUGUUGGCAUGCAUCUAUAUUUAGCAAGUAAAUUGCUGAUAUCCAAGGAGUCAUCAAAGUGCUAGGAUUAAAGGCCUGCAAUGCCGCCGCCGCCGCCACCACCGUCACCACCAUUACCCAAUGGCCUGUUCCACUCUUCACCAUUCCCACUCCCACCAGUGCUCAAACCCUCUGUGGCAGAAUCAGGGAAUGGAUGUUUCACGUGAUAGAUCACAGAGAUUCACAUCUCUGGACCUGAAUCCAGCCUUGUCCUUAAGAAGUUGUGAAGGAAGAUACCACCACAAUUGCACUAUUUCAGGAUCACAUCAUGUCCCUAUACAUUGCCACCACAUCCGUCGUCUGCCUCCUUCUCAUCGUAUCCCCCUUUGUUUCAUUCUCAAUGGUGCAAUGUAAAAGAGCUAGCAAAUAUAAAUCUGAGCUUCCUA